UUUCCGUAAGGGUGACUGCGGAGGGAUCAUUACACAAAUAUGAAGGCGGGCUGGAACCUCUCGGGGUUACAGCCUUGCUGAAUUAUUCACCCUUGUCUUUUGCGUACUUCUUGUUUCCUUGGUGGGUUCGCCCACCACUAGGACAAACAUAAACCUUUUGUAAUUGCAAUCAGCGUCAGUAACAAAUUAAUAAUUACAACUUUCAACAACGGAUCUCUUGGUUCUGGCAUCGAUGAAGAACGCAGCGAAAUGCGAUAAGUAGUGUGAAUUGCAGAAUUCAGUGAAUCAUCGAAUCUUUGAACGCACAUUGCGCCCUUUGGUAUUCCAAAGGGCAUGCCUGUUCGAGCGUCAUUUGUACCCUCAAGCUUUGCUUGGUGUUGGGCGUCUUGUCUCUAGCUUUGCUGGAGACUCGCCUUAAAGUAAUUGGCAGCCGGCCUACUGGUUUCGGAGCGCAGCACAAGUCGCACUCUCUAUCAGCAAAGGUCUAGCAUCCAUUAAGCCUUUUUUCAACUUUGACCUCGGAUCAGGUAGAUCCG
rnacentral:rRNA from 1 species